UGAUCCUGCAAACCUUAAUCAAACAAAAGACUCAUUGACUUUGAGAGGAAUUUUACUCAAGUAAGGACUGUAGGAGUUGUGCCACAACACAGCAAUAUAGACUAAUUAAGUGUCAUAGGCAGUACAAAUGAAGCAGCAGCAAUUGAUUACACAUCACUGACAGCAUAAAACAGAACAAACAGACAGUUCCUUCCAUGAAAAGCCCAGGGUGAAGAUUCCAAUCUAUUCCAACUGAUCUUUAUUUAGAAAGAAUAAAGGGUGGAACAGGCUGACAACUUUAUU